rnacentral:rRNA from 1 species
AUGCCAGCCAAGAUCUUCCAGAUCCUCUCCACCCAGCCACCGUCAUUGCAUGAGGACUUUAACGAGUGGUCACCAAGAAGCUUCCCCAAAUCCUACAAGAGGCUCAGGUUAGACGAGCCGCUGACAAAGACACACCUCUAUUCUGAAUUUUUACAUGCGAAGAUGGACCAUCAGCUACAGAAUAUGUUGGCUAACCUCUCACAGAUGAUGGCUACAGAUAUGGACACCUGUAUACAUAUGGGUUGUUUCCUCCGUCAAUGCCGUCCUUUAAUCCAGUUAAUGAUGCUGAAGUUUUCAAUGGCUUUGGCACCGCAUACAUAUAGGUUCCUCCGUCAAUGGCUCAAUGCUGUCCUUUAA